rnacentral:lncRNA from 1 species
GUGUUAGUGUUGGGUAUGGGUAAUGAUAACGAUGGAGCUUGUGUAUAUGGAGGAGAGUACAUAAGAGGCAAUGGGUGUGGGUGCAUCAUAUUGGGGGUGGGGGUGCCUGGAGGUGGAGGUGUAGGGUAGGGUGAGUGAGGUGAAGAAGGUGGUCUUGGGUGAAGAGUCAUAUUCAUUUGCCAUGGGGUGGGCCCAGGAGGAGGUAGAGCAAUGUUCAUGGGCAUUGGUGCAACACGGACAACAGGUGGCGAUGGGUUAAAUGGAGUAGCUGAUGCAGACAACCUCUUGUUUUGGGGUUCUUGACUUUGAUUUGGUUUUACAUUUUCUGUCUCCGUCUCUAUACUGGCAUUGGAGGGAACAAUUGGAAUUGGCAUGUCGAUUAUUACACUCUUG